rnacentral:rRNA from 1 species
GGCUUAGAGUUUGAUCAUGGCUCAGGAUGAACGCUAGCUACAGGCUUAACACAUGCAAGUCGAGGGGCAUCAGGAAGAAAGCUUGCUUUCUUUGCUGGCGACCGGCGCACGGGUGAGUAACACGUAUCCAACCUGCCCUUUACUCGGGGAUAGCCUUUCGAAAGAAAGAUUAAUACCCGAUAGUAUAAUGAUUCCGCAUGGUUUCAUUAUUAAAGGAUUCCGGUAAAGGAUGGGGAUGCGUUCCAUUAGGUUGUUGGUGAGGUAACGGCCCACCAAGCCUUCGAUGGAUAGGGGUUCUGAGAGGAAGGUCCCCCACAUUGGAACUGAGACACGGUCCAAACUCCUACGGGAGGCAGCAGUGAGGAAUAUUGGUCAAUGGGCGUUAGCCUGAACCAGCCAAGUAGCGUGAAGGAUGAAGGCUCUAUGGGUCGUAAACUUCUUUUAUAUAAGAAUAAAGUGCAGUAUGUAUACUGUUUUGUAUGUAUUAUAUGAAUAAGGAUCGGCUAACUCCGUGCCAGCAGCCGCGGUAAUACGGAGGAUCCGAGCGUUAUCCGGAUAUAUUGGGUUUAAAGGGAGCGUAGGUGGACUGGUAAGUCAGUUGUGAAAGUUUGCGGCUCAACCGUAAAAUUGCAGUUGAUACUGUCAGUCUUGAGUACAGUAGAGGUGGGCGGAAUUCGUGGUGUAGCGGUGAAAUGCUUAGAUAUCACGAAGAACUCCGAUUGCGAAGGCAGCUCACUGGACUGCAACUGACACUGAUGCUCGAAAGUGUGGGUAUCAAACAGGAUUAGAUACCCUGGUAGUCCACACAGUAAACGAUGAAUACUCGCUGUUUGCGAUAUACAGUAAGCGGCCAAGCGAAAGCGUUAAGUAUUCCA